rnacentral:rRNA from 1 species
UGAGGAAUAUUGCGCAAUGGGGGAAACCCUGACGCAGCAACGCCGCGUGGGUGAAGAAGGCCUUCGGGUCGUAAAGCCCUUUCGGACGGGACGAACGCUCCGCGGUGACAACCCGCGGAGUCUGACGGUACCGUAAGAAGAAGCACCGGCUAACUCCGUGCCAGCAGCCGCGGUAAUACGGAGGGUGCAAGCGUUGUUCGGAAUUACUGGGCGUAAAGCGCGUGUAGGCGGCCUUGCAAGCCAGACGUGAAAGCCCUCGGCUUAACCGGGGAAGUGCGUCUGGAACUGCUCGGCUCGAGUACGGGAGAGGGAGGCGGAAUUCCCAGUGUAGAGGUGAAAUUCGUAGAUAUUGGGAGGAACACCGGUGGCGAAAGCGGCCUCCUGGACCGAUACUGACGCUGAGACGCGAAAGCGUGGGGAGCAAACAGGAUUAGACACCCUGGUAGUCCACGCCGUAAACGAUGGGCACUAGGUGUAGGAGGUAUUGACCCCUUCUGUGCCGAAGCUAACGCAUUAAGUGCCCCGCCUGGGGAGUACGGCCGCAAGGCUA